AACUUUAAAGGCUGAAGAGGGAAAAGGUUCCAUGUGAACGACACUUGCACAUGGGUUAGUCGAUCCUAAGAAUUGGGGGGAACCCCAACAAAUAGCGGAUUUUGCACGUACUCUGAAAGGGAUUCAGGUUAAAAUUCUUGGACUAGGAAGUGGCGAUCGACGGCAACGUUAGACUUCUACGUGCUAUGGACAUUGGCCUGUGGGCUCCCCAUUCGAGCCGUCAUAAAAAAGGACCAAGGAAUCUGACAUGUGUGUGAGUCAACGGGUGAGUAAACCCAUAAGGUGUAAGGAAGCUGAUUGGUGGUGUCCUCCCGAGGGGUGCACGGCUGACCGACCUUGAUCUUCCGAGAAGGGUUCGAGUAUGAGCAUACCUGUCGGGACCCAAAAGAUGGUGAACUAUGCCUGAGCGGGGAGAAGCCAGAGGAAACUCUGGUGGAUGCCCAUAGCGAUACUGAUAUGCAAAUCGUUCUUCUGACUUGGGUAUAGGGCCCGCGACUGCUUUAUCUGGCCUUGCCAUGGAAUCAAGAGCUCCAAGUGGGCUAUUUUUGGUAAGCAGAACUAGAGAUACGGGAUGAACCAAAAGUCGGGUUACGGUGCUAAACUGCACGCUAACCUAGAUCCCACAAAAGGUGUUGGUUGAUUAAGACAGAAGAACGAUAGACAUGGAAGUCCAAAUUCGCUAAGGAGUAUGUAACAACUCUCCUGCCAAAUAAACUAGCCCCGAAAAUGAAUGGCGCUUAUGUGAGCGACCUACACCAGGCCGUUGAGGAAAGUUCCAGGCCCCGAUGAGUAGGAGGGCACAGCGGUCGCUGUAAAACCUUGGGCAAGAGCCUGGGCAGAGCGACUGUCGGUGCAGAUAUUAAUAGUAGUAGCAAAUAUUCAAAUGAUAACUUUGAAGGCCGAAGAGUGGAAAGGUUCCUUGUGAACAGCACUUGCACAUGGAUUAGUUGAUCCUAAGGGUCAGGGGAACACCGACAGAUAGCGCAUUUCAUGCGUACUCCAAAAGGGAAUCGAGUUAAAAUUCCUGGAUCGGGACGUGGUGGUUGAAGGCAAUGUUAGGAAGUCGAGAGACGUCGGCGGAAGCCUCGAGAAGAGUUAUCUUUUCUGUUUAGCAGCCUGCCAACCCUGGAAUCAGCUCAGCUGGAGGUAGGGUCCAGUGGUUGAAAGAGCACCACACAUUACGUGGUGUCCUGUCCACUACUGGUGGCCCUUCAAAAUCCAGAGGACCAAAUGCCGUCCACGCUCGAUCGUACUUAUAACCACAUCAGGUCCCAAAGGGGAACAGCCUCUGGUUGAUGGAAUAAUGUAGGCAAGGAAAGUCAGCAAAAUAGAUCCGUAACUUCUGGAAAAGGAUUGGCACUGAGGGCUGGACACGAGGGUCCUAGUCCCGAACUCGUUGGAUGUUGGUGGACUACUCGAGCUACUCCCGCAGUGAGAGCGGGUCGCCGCAUGCCGGUCAGGGGACAUAGCCAACUCAAAACUGGUAUGGACAAGGGGAAUCCGACUAUUUAAUUAAAACAAAGCAUUGUGAUGGUCCCAACAGAUGUUUACGCAUUAUGAUUUUUUCCUAGUGCUCUGAAUGUCAAAGUGAAGAAAUUCAACCAAGAGCGGGUAAACAGCAGGAGUAACUAUGACUCUCUUAAGGUAGCCAAAUGCCUCGCCAUCUAAUUAGUGAUGCGCAUGAAUGGAUUAAUAAGAUUCCCACUAUCCUUGUCUACUAUCCAGCGAAACCACAGCUAAGGGAACGGGCUUGGCAGAAUCAGCGGGUAAAAGAAGACCCUCUUGAGCUUGACUCUACUCAGACANGGCCUUUUGCGCAAAACAACGGCAUCGGAACUAGAGGUUUUCCACGAUUUGGAGUGCUGGCUUAAGUGCUCAGGAUGCACCAAGAACAACAUUGGUGCAUGGAGGCAUGUCGCAAUUAGAGGUUUUUAUAACCGUUGAGUGCAAUGCUAGAGGCACAUUCAAUAACAAACGCCGAUGGACAUAUAGUGGCCUACCAUGGUGGUGUCUUUGUCAAGUUGGAUAUCCGUGCACCAGCACCAUCGCCCCUAAAUCACCAUGGGCACAAGGAACCAACGCACCAUGGAACCAAGGCACAAAGGCGCCAUGGCACCAACGCACCAUGGCACAAAGGCACCAAGGAACCAUGGAAACAAGGCACCGAGGCACCAUGGCACUAUUCACCAAGGCACCGUGGCACUAAGGCACCAUGGCACCAUGGAAACGGGUAGAAAGGAACCGUGGCACCAUGGAACGAAGGCACCGUGGCACCAUGGCACAGUGGAACAAAGGCACCAAGGCAACGUCGCACCAUGAUACAAAGGCACCGUGGCUCAAUGGCUCUAUGGCUCUAUGUGACCAAGGCAUCGUGGUGU
rnacentral:rRNA from 1 species